rnacentral:rRNA from 1 species
UACGGGGGGGGUAAGCGUUGUUCGGAAUUACUGGGCGUAAAGGGCUCGUAGGCGGCCAACUAAGUCAUACGUGAAAUCCCUCAGCUUAACUGGGGAACUGCGUCUGAUACUGGGGGGCUUGAGUAUGGGAGAGGGAUGUAGAAUUCCAGGUGUAGCGGUGAAAUGCGUAGAUAUCUGGAGGAAUACCGGUGGCGAAGGCGGCAUCCUGGACCAUUACUGACGCUGAGGCGCGAAAGCUAGGGGAGCAAACGGG